CUGCCCUUCUCUCACGAUUGAAACAUCUUCCAGCAGUGACCUGAGAAGCUACGUAUUGACACGGCGCUACCACGGGUGGAGGAGCCUGCAUUGCUGAAUCACAGGAUGAAGGCGAAUCCCUGCCAGCCUCCAUCCAUCUCUGGGGUGCUUAGCAGAAUCCUCAGCUCACAAGAUGAAUAAAUGCAGACUAAAUGAUGCACAAAUAAUCUUCACACACAACCAUCAACACAUGGAAAGACUGCAGGACGGCCAGAUCCCAAGCUAACAAACAGGGGAAGAUGAUGUUUCAAAUGAUCAUCUGAAUGCUGGGUUUCCACCUUCCACCAGGAAGUCAUAUGGUCAAAUUAUCCCGGAUCCUGAAAUAUAUCUUUUGAUAGAAAUGACUCUGGUACUUUCCGCAACUUACUUUCUAUGGAGCACUUUCCUGAAACAAGAUUUGUGUUUAAAUAUUCCUCCUUCUACAAAGUAUUAAACAGUAGUAAGUUCUGCAACGUUGACAAUGGAAACCUGGCAAUGUGCCCUUGUUUGACUAUUAAGGAAUUGCUUCCAAGUACCACAGGGCCUUGAAGACCAAAAUAACACAAUUACCUGGAAGGUGAACAAUGGCAACUUAUCAGAAAAAGAAAAAAAAUGGCAUUAUGAUACAAACAGAAAAUGUAACAGUGGAGUGCAGAAAAUACAAAAAAAAGGAAAAAAUAAAUAGAAAAUCUUCAAAGAGGCAAUCUGUUUAAAUCUUCAAGAACUGGAAACAGUAAAAGUGAACAGGUUUUUAUUGAGCAUGUCAAUAAAAUGUUUGCAUAAGACUUUACAAGUGCUUUAUUUCAUGAGGUUUUUAUUAUUGAUCAAAGCAACGAAAAUGAACGGGAAAUUCAUUCUCAUCAAAUCUACAACUUGGGAGGAGGUCCGAUGAAAUCCCUGGAAGCUCACAUUUUUUAUAAAUGAAGAGUUAAUUACCGGUGGGAACAAUGAGAACCUCUGUGGUUCUUCCUGAUGCUUGGAUCCUCCCAGACCUCUGUUUCCAGUCUCCUUCUCCACAACCUGGCCUAUGCGAUGCAAGUGGUCUAACUGAUCUCCGCCUAGGGAAGGAUCCUUCGGCAACUUGCCGACAAGAGAAGCAGCGAUGCCCGAGGCAGGUCCAAAGGAGCACUGACUGCGUGGGAUUGAUUACACUGGAGGAACAAAAGGUCCUGUGGCUACACAAGUUUGAAAAGCAGAAGGUACAAUCAUUGUAUUUCUGGCAGACUUUUCAAAGACUUUAAUAUAUGAAUCCCUCAUAUGAAUCUCCUGGAGGAUUAUAUAAUAGGCAGAUCUCCCAGCCAUUUUCACUGAACAGUUCUUAGAAUUGGUAUCCUUGAAAAAUUUCACCUAACCACUCAAUAUGGUAGCCACUAGUCCUGGGUGGCUAUUGAGCACCUGAAAUUUGCCUAGUCUGAAUUAAGACACAUUCUAAGAAUAAAGCACACUGUAUUUCAAAGGCAGUACAAAAAUAAAAAAGAAUGUAAGCUGUCUCAAUAAUAAUUUUUGUAUUGAAUACGUGUUGAAAUGAUGUUAUUUUUGAUAUAUUGAGUGAAAUAAAUUGUAUUGCUAAAAUGAAUUUUACUUGUUUUGUUUUACUUGUGCAAUGAGGUUACUAGAUAAUAUAAAAUUCUGUCUGUGGUUUGCAUUAUUUUUCUAGGAUGAUAAUGAGCUAGAGGACAGCAUGUAUGUAAGACCUUCAGGAUUUAGAGUCUGGCUAUCUCUCCAGCUCUCUGUCUAAAUACUGUCUUGCUUUGGGUUCCCAUCUCUCCAGAUCGCUUAAAGAAACCCCUCCCUGUCCCUGCCAACAACCACCACAGCAGACAGCCUGACAUCUCUAUCUCUUGCUCAUUUCAACUUAUGGGAUGACAUCUGGCCAACACUUAUUCAGCCUUCAGGUAUUAAGCAACAAUCACCCACACAGGAAGCCUAUCUGGAAAUCCAGGCACACCUAUCCCCUGGCCUGAU
rnacentral:lncRNA from 1 species